rnacentral:rRNA from 1 species
UACGGAGGGUGCAAGCGUUAUCCGGAUUUACUGGGUUUAAAGGGUGCGUAGGUGGGUCUGUAAGUCAGUGGUGAAAUCUCCGAGCUUAACUCGGAAACUGCCAUUGAUACUAUAGGUCUUGAAUUAUCUGGAGGUAAGCGGAAUAUGUCAUGUAGCGGUGAAAUGUCUUAGAUAUGGCAUAGAACACCAAUUGCGAAGGCAGCUUACUACGGAUAUAUUGACACUGAGGCACGAAAGCGUGGGGAUCAAACAGG